rnacentral:rRNA from 1 species
UGGGCGCAAGCCUGAUCUAGCCAUGCCGCGUGAGUGAUGAAGGUCUUAGGAUCGUAAAGCUCUUUCGCCAGGGAUGAUAAUGACAGUACCUGGUAAAGAAACCCCGGCUAACUCCGUGCGAGCAGCCGCGGUAAUACGGAGGGGGUUAGCGUUGUUCGGAAUUACUGGGCGUAAAGCGCGCGUAGGCGGAUCAGAAAGUUGGGGGUGAAAUCCCAGGGCUCAACCCUGGAACUGCCUCCAAAACUACUGGUCUAGAGUUCGAGAGAGGUGAGUGGAAUUGUGAGUGUAGAGGUGAAAUUCGAAGAUAUUCACAGGAACACCAGUGGCGAAGGCGGCUCACUGGCUCGAUACUGAC